rnacentral:rRNA from 1 species
AUGACUUUACAAUUUGAGCAUAAUAAUUUUUACAGAAAAGAGCUUAAAGAACAAAAAAGUUUUAUGGAGUUUAUGAACAAAGAGCUUGAUGAUAUGUAUAAAGAAUUUUAUGAUUUUAACUCCCAAAUUACUCGGCUUGAAAAUUCUAUAGCUCAAAUUUCUCAUAAGCAAGCUACCUUAGUCAAUAAGAUGGCUGCGAGACCAGAAAAAUUAGGUGAAAAUAAUGAUGAAGAUCUUAAAGUUAUUGAUGUAUCCCCUAUUAGAUCUUUGUUUUGCAAUAUGAAUCUUGAUAAUGAUGGGACUAGAGAUGAGUCUACUUUAUUUAAAAGGCGUCCCAAUAAUUCGGAUUUUUUAGAUCUUGAUGCUAAAUUUGGUAAAAGUGGGAUUGGAGAGGUCAAGACUUUAUAUAGCAUUGAACCCACUAUCUUGGAUUUCAAGGAAUUUAAUUAUGAUAAUUGUUCUUUAGUUGAUUGUAUUUCCUUGUUGCAAUCCGUGUUGAAUUCUCCUCAUGUUUAUAGUCAAAAUAAAGCCUUUACCAAACAUAUUGUUGAUGCCUUGAUGCAAUCUUUUGAUGAAAAACUUAAUUUGGAAGUUUAUAUACCUAGAAAACUUAAUGAUGAGUGGGAACCUACUAUAAAGAUUAAAAUUAAAGAUUAUGAGUGUUUUCCUUUAUGUGAUUUGGGUGCUAGUGUUUCCACAAUUCCGAAAACUUUAUGUGAUAUUCUAGGUUUCCAUGAUCUUGAUGAUUGCUCUUUAAAUUUGCACCUUGCGGAUUCCACCAUUAAAAAUACAAUGGGAAGAAUCAAUGAUUUCCUCAUUGUUGCAAAUAGAAAUUUGGUUCCCUUGGAUUUUAUCGUUCUUGAUAUAGAUUGCAAUCGUUCUUGUCCUAUUAUUCUUGGUAGACCUUUCCUUAGAACUAUUGGCGCGAUUAUUGAUAUGAAGGAAGCGAAUAUUAGAUUCCAGUUUCCAUUAAGGAAAGGCAUGGAGCACUUUCCAAGAAAGAAAAUUAAAUUACCUUAUAAAUCUAUCAUGCGAGCUACUUAUGAAUCAAGUGUCAAAGAUGGCACUACUUAG